AGGCCACCUGUGUGAUGUGGACACCACCUCUCCGUGAAAGUUUUUCCUAUCCUUUCCUUGUACUUCAGAUGUAUGUUUUAACUUUGAUUCUCAGAUUAGGUGAUGGAAGCUGCCCAUUCUUCAUCACCCCUUGCUACUCAUUCCCAGUUUAAUUCCUAGAAAGGACCUCAAGCAAUGAUAGAAGGCCCUUCAUUGCACUCUGUCUUUCCAAUGUUGCUUUUAUGCUUCCCUGGCAAUUUGCUCAGUUUAUACUUUUUACACAGAUAGCAUCAUUAUUUCCCAUGUAUGUUGUGGGAUACAUUGAACCAAGCAAAUUUCAGAAGAUCAUUUAUAUGAACAUGAUUUCAGUUACCCUUAGUUUCAUUUUGAUGUUUGGAAAUUCAAUGUACUUAUCUUCUUAUUAUUCUUCAUCUUUGUUAAUGACAUGGGCAAUAAUUCUAAAGAGAAAUGAAAUUCAAAAACUGGGAGUAUCUAAACUCAACUGCUGGCUAAUUCAAGGUAGUGCCUGGUGGUGUGGAACAAUCAUUUUGAAAUUUCUGACAUCUAAAAUCUUAGGCGUUUCAGACCAUAUUUGCCUGAGUGAUCUUAUAGCAGCCGGAAUCUUAAGGUAUACAGAUUUUGAUACUUUAAAAUACACCUGUUCUCCCGAAUUUGACUUCAUGGAAAAAGCGACUCUGCUGAUAUACACAAAGACAUUAUUGCUUCCAGUUGUUAUGGUGAUUACAUGUUUUAUCUUUAAAAAGACUGUUGGUGAUAUUUCGCGUGUUUUAGCUACAAACGUUUAUCUAAGAAAACAGCUCCUUGAACACAGUGAGCUGGCUUUUCACACAUUGCAGUUGUUAGCAUUUACUGCCCUUGCCAUUUUAAUUUUGAGGCUAAAGCUGUUUUUGACACAGCACAUGUGUGUUAUGGCUUCCUUGAUAUGCUCUUGACGGCUCUUUGGCUGGCUUUUUCGCAGAGUUCGCAGAGAGAAUGUUAUCUUUGGCAUUCUAACAGUGAUGUCAAUACAAGGUUAUGCAAACCUCUGUAAUCAAUGGAGCAUAACAGGAGAAUUUAAUGAUUUGCCUCAGGAAGAACUUUUACAGUGGAUCAAAUACAAUACCGUACCAGAUGCUGUCUUUGCAGGUGCCAUGCCUACAAUGGCAAGUGUCAAGCUGUCUACACUUCAUCCCAUUGUGAAUCAUCCACAUUACGAAGAUGCAGACUUGAGGGCUUGGACAAAAAUAGUUUAUUCUACAUAUAGUGGAAAAUCUGCCAAAGAAGUAAGAGAUAAAUUGUUGGAGUUACAUGUGAAUUAUUAUGUUUUAGAAGAGGCAUGGUGUGUUGUGAGAACUAAGCCUGGUUGCAGCAUGCUUGAAAUCUGGGAUGUGGAAGACCCUUCCAAUGCAGCUAACCCUCCCUUAUGUAGCGUCCUCCUUGAGCCGAGAUUGUGCCACUGCACUCCAGCCUGGGCGACAAAUCAAGACCCCGUCUCCAAAAAAAAAAAAAACAAAACUUGAUUGGGAUCCAAAAUCAUACAACUAUACACUAAAAUCAGUGAAUAUUACCUUAUGUAAAUUAAAAAUUAGGAAAUCAAAAGAAAAGCAUACAUAUAAAAAACAGUUUUUUCUAAGCAUUUCUCAUUUGUAGGGUGUUUGAAUUACGUUGUAUGUUGUCUCAUUUCACCCCCAUAACAAAUCUAUGAAAGAGGUACUUUUAUCCCCAUGUUAACGUGAAUAAACCCAGGUUUGGAAAA